rfam:Camelus ferus unplaced genomic scaffold scaffold313, whole genome shotgun sequence.
GAGGGUAUAGCUCAGAGGUAGAGUGCAUGUUUAGCACGCACAAGUCCUAGGUUCCAUCCCUAGUACCUCCA